rnacentral:lncRNA from 1 species
UGUGUACACACUCGAGGUUUGCAUGGUGGGACUGUGAACAGACUCAUUCAUGUUUCCAGGGUCUCCCUAAGUUGCAACCUAGGCAUAAAAGAGACAGUGGUACCUCAGCUGCCUCCUCUGCCCCACUUCUCUGGGCCCUGGAUCCUCCGGGGAUGGGGUUGGGAGGUUGGAAGUGGGCACGUGCUUCCUGGUUAACAAAGGUCCAUUUUACUGGCUCUUGUGGCCUCUGGCUGAUGCUGACCAGCUUUGAUGCUCUUCCUAAGCUGGAAUGCAAACACAGGG